rnacentral:rRNA from 1 species
UACGUAGGGUGCAGGCAUUAAUCGGAAUUACUGGGCGUAAAGGGCUCGUAGGUGGCCAACUAAGUCAGACGUGAAAUCCCUCGGCUUAACCGGGGAACUGCGUCUGAUACUGGAUGGCUUGAGUUCGGGAGAGGGAUGCGGAAUUCCAGGUGUAGCGGUGAAAUGCGUAGAUAUCUGGAGGAACACCGGUGGCGAAGGCGGCUUCCUGGACCGGUUCUGACGCUGAGGAGCGAAAGCGUGGGGAGCGAACAGG